rnacentral:rRNA from 1 species
GACGAACGCUGGCGGCGUGCUUAACACAUGCAAGUCGAACGGAAAGGCCCUGCUUUUGUGGGGUGCUCGAGUGGCGAACGGGUGAGUAACACGUGAGUAACCUGCCCUUGACUUUGGGAUAACUUCAGGAAACUGGGGCUAAUACCGGAUAGGAGCUCCUGCUGCAUGGUGGGGGUUGGUAAGUUUCGGCGGUUGGGGAUGGACUCGCGGCUUAUCAGCUUGUUGGUGGGGUAGUGGCUUACCAAGGCUUUGACGGGUAGCCGGUCUGAGAGGGUGACCGGCCACAUUGGGACUGAGAUACGGCCCAGACUCCUACGGGAGGCAGAAGUGGGGAAUAUUGCACAAUGGGCGGAAGCCUGAUGCAGCAACGCCGCGUGCGGGAUGACGGCCUUCGGGUUGUAAACCGCUUUCGCCUGUGACGAAGCGUGAGUGACGGUAAUGGGUAAAGAAGCACCGGCUAACUACGUG